CCUACGGGAGACUGCAGUGAGGAAUAUUGGUCAAUGGGCUUACGCCUGAACCAGCCAAGUCGCGUGAGGGAAGACUGCCCUAUGGGUUGUAAACCUCUUUUGUCAGGGAGCAACGCCGGCUACGUGUAGCCUGCCUGAGAGUCCCUGCAGAAAAAGCAUCGGCUACCUCCGUGCCAGCAGCCGCGGUAAUACGGAGGAUGCGAGCGUUAUCCGGAUUUAUUGGGUUAAAGGGGUGCGUAGGCGGAAUGCCAAGUCAGCGGUAAAAUCGCGGGGCUCAACCUCGAUCCGCCGUUGAAACUGGCGGUCUUGAGUGGGCGAGAAGUAGGCGGAAUGCGUGGUGUAGCGGUGAAAUGCAUAGAUAUCACGCAGAACUCCGAUUGCGAAGGCAGCAUACCGGAGCCCAACUGACGCUGAAGCACGAAAGCGUGGGUAUCGAACAGGAUUAGAUACCCCUGUAGUC
rnacentral:rRNA from 1 species